UUCAAUUCCUGAUACCUUUUAUUCCCAUUACGAGUAUUUUUGUUUUUGGUUGCUUUUCCUAUUUGGUAACGUGAAAAUUAUUGAGUACCCCAGAAUAAGGUAGUGUUCAAUACAGAAACUACUAGCCAAAUUGGAUGUUUGAAGGAAAGUGUCUAUAUUAACCAGUUUAUACCAAAUAUUCAAAAAAUAGAUGAUAUAUUCAAUAUCAUCGAUUUCAAUUUCACCAAUGAAUCAUAAAAUUUUACAAUUUUUUAGACAUCUUUCCAUCUACUCCGAAAUUUUGUACACCUGUGAAGCUACAAUAUAAUUUUCUUCUACCAAUGCCAAUCAGUUCAUCACUGUCCUAAUGGUUUUUCAAUCUAAGUAGAUAUUUUCUUAAAGGUACCGCAAGUGAUCAAUGUCCCGAGGAAUAUAUGUAAUGGAUGCGUAAAUCAGCUUGAAGAGAUAUUGAUGUUUAUUGAAGUUGCCAAGACUAAUGAUGCCAAUAUGGAACUAAAAUCGAUUCUAGAAAAAGACAUUGAAUAUCCAAAUCGUAUUGAAAGUGUGGAAAAUCUGAGUUGAGGAUAAUAAAUGAUGGAUCAGUUGAUGAAUAUAAGAAGGAAGGCAGAUUCAGAGAGGGAAGUGUAAUGUGUCGCAUUUGUUCAUCUGCAAGUAAUGGAGCUUGAAUUAAUAGGGAAUCACAUCUGACUCAACUGAUUCUAAAUGUUACCAACAUAGAUGUUAAAAAUGAAAUCGUCACAUGUGUUGUAUGUAUAGACAAACUGGAAAAAAUGUCAGCAUUCAUCACCUCGUCUUUAGCCAAUGAGAGAAAACUAGAUAAUGCUAUAUGCAUGGGGCAUAUUGUGAAAACAGAAAAUAUUUCAAAUUGCAUCAAAAUUGAAUCUUCUACAUGUGGAGAUUUCAUCCUGAAGGGGAUUUCGAACAAAAUGAAAUUACAAAGAAGAAAGAAUUUCUAGAUGUAAAAAAAGAAUUUACUGAGGUCAACAAAGAAUUUUUUCACAUCAAAGAAGAAAGAAUGGAUGUCACCGAGGAUGCGAAUAAACUGUCAACUCCAUCAGUGCAAUCCUACGAAAGCGAAUCCGAAUUACACACGCCAAUCCCCCCUAGAAAUUGCCGCCUAUGUAUGUAUUGUCAAGGGGCGUUUACAACUAAGUCAGAUUUCAAAAGACAUGUAGAAUCUCCCAAUGAAAAAAAAACAUUCCAGUGUCAAUUAUGCAAAGACAUAUUCCCUCUGAAGUGUCAGUUGAAAGGUCAUCUGCUAAAUCACCCUGAAAAAAAGCCUCUCCAGUGUAAUAUUUGUAAGAAAAAUUUCGACGAGAAGCGUGAAGUGACUAUCCACUUACUCAGUCACACCAAAGAAUUACCAUUUCAACGUGAUGUUUGCCAAAAACGUUUUCACCUGAAAUCAAGGUAUCAAGAGCAUAUAAACAGGCACAAAGCCGCAGGAGAGAAGCCUUUUAAAUGUAAAUACUGCCAAAAGGAUUUCGCAGAAAAGCAUAAUUUGAGCGUCCAUUUGAUCUCUCAUUUUCCACACGAAUGUGGUAGGUGUGACAAAAGAUUUUCCCACGAAAUAAAUUUUUACUCAUCCACAUUAACAAUAGAAAUUUUCAAUGUAGAUUUUGCGAAAAAGUUUAUUUCUGAAAAAACAUUGGAAAAAGCAUUUUCAAUGUCACCCAGGAGAGAUGCCGUAUCAGUGCAUGUACUGCAAGAAAACGUUUGUAAGGUCGAGUAUUUUGGAGAAACAUAUUAUCAUUCAUGAUGACAAAACAUUAUACCGGUGUGACCUUUGCAAAGCAUGUUUUACUACAAAGUAUCUUUUGCUCAAUCAUAGGCGUAUGCACCCACCCAUGUAUUCGUGCGAGACGUGCAAUGAAAGUUACAAUGCCGUCAUUAGUUUGCAGAUGCACCACCUUAGACAUCCAGAUCAUAAGUAACACAUGUUAUGCUGCAAAGUUUCAUGUUCACGACAUUUUAUGAAAAAAAUACAAGCAAGAGAAGAUUC